UAUUUAGGUAGCGCCUCGUGAAUUCAUCUCCGGGGGUAGAGCACUGUUUCGGCUAGGGGGCCAUCCCGGCUUACCAACCCGAUGCAAACUGCGAAUACCGGAGAAUGUUAUCACGGGAGACACACGGCGGGUGCUAACGUCCGUCGUGAAGAGGGAAACAACCCAGACCGCCAGCUAAGGUCCCAAAGUCAUGGUUAAGUGGGAAACGAUGUGGGAAGGCCCAGACAGCCAGGAUGUUGGCUUAGAAGCAGCCAUCAUUUAAAGAAAGCGUAAUAGCUCACUGGUCGAGUCGGCCUGCGCGGAAGAUGUAACGGGGCUAAACCAUG
rnacentral:rRNA from 2 species